GACGAACGCUGGCGGCGUGCUUAACACAUGCAAGUCGAACGGACAGGCCCUGCUUUUGCGGGGUGCUCGAUUGCGGAACGGGUGAGUAACACGUGUGUAACCUGCCCUUGUCUGAGUGGUAACAUUAGGAAACUGGGGCUAAUACCGGAUAGGAUCUCCUGAAGCGUGGGGGGCGUUGGAAAGUUUCGGCGGUUGGGGCUGGUCUCGCGGCUUAUCAGCUUGUUGGGGGGGUAGUGGCUGACCAAGGCUUCGACGGGUAGCCGGCCUGGGAGGGGGACCGGCCACAUUGGGACUGAGAUACGGCCCAGACUCGAACCGGAGGCAACAGGGGAGAAUAUUACAGAAUAGGCGGGAGCCAGAUGUGACAACGCCGCGUGCGGGAUGACGGGUUUCGGGUUGUGAACCGCUUUCGCCUGAGACGAGGCGUUAGUGACGGUAAUGGGUAAAGAAGCACCGGCUAACUACGUG
rnacentral:rRNA from 1 species